GUGCACCAGGCGAGAAUCUUGGGCAAUGGGGGAAACCCUGACCCAGCGACGCCGCGUGGGGGGAAGAAGGCCUUCGGGUUGUAAACCCCUUUUCCCAGGGAGCAAUCCCCUCAGAUGUUCAUCUGGGGGGGAUGAGAGUACCUGGGGAAUAAGUGGCUGCCAAUCACGUGCCAGCAGCAGCGGUAAGACGUGAGCCACAAGGGGUUUACCGGAUUUACUGGGCGUAAAGGGUACCGUAGGCGGCCAGGAAAGUUCACUGUUAAAGCCUCCGGGCUCAACCUGGAGAAUGCAGUGAAGACUUCCUGGCUAGAGGGCGGUAGGGGGGGCGUGGAACUGCCGGUGUAGGGGUGAAAUCCGUUGAUAUCGGCAGGAACACCGAAAGGGAAGCCAAGCCCCUGGGCCGACCCUGACGCUGAGGGACGAAAGCG
rnacentral:rRNA from 1 species